rnacentral:rRNA from 1 species
UGGGGAAUAUUGGACAAUGGGGGAAACCCUGAUCCAGCCAUGCCGCGUGAGUGAUGAAGGCCUUCGGGUUGUAAAACUCUUUUAGGUGGGACGAUAAUGACGGUACCACCAGAAUAAGAUCCGGCAAACUUCGUGCCAGCAGCCGCGGUAAUACGAAGGGAUCUAGCGUUGUUCGGAUUUACUGGGCGUAAAGGGCGCGUAGGCGGUCUCGCAAGUAGGGUGUGAAAGCCCUGGGCUUAACCCAGGAACUGCACUCUAAACUACGAGGCUUGAGUAUGGGAGAGGUAAGUGGAAUUUCCAGUGUAGAGGUAAAAUUCGUAGAUAUUGGAAAGAACACCAGUGGCGAAGGCGACUUACUGGACCAUUACUGACGCUGAGGCGCGAAAGCGUGGGGAGCAAA